AGUGAACGCUGGCGGUAGGCAUAACACAUGCAAGUCGAACGGCAGCACAGUAAGAGCUUGCUCUUACGGGUGGCGAGUGGCGGACGGGUGAGGAAUACAUCGGAAUCUACUUUUUCGUGGGGGAUAACGUAGGGAAACUUACGCUAAUACCGCAUACGACCUACGGGUGAAAGCAGGGGAUCUUCGGACCUUGCGCGAUUGAAUGAGCCGAUGUCGGAUUAGCUAGUUGGCGGGGUAAAGGCCCACCAAGGCGACGAUCCGUAGCUGGUCUGAGAGGAUGAUCAGCCACACUGGAACUGAGACACAGUCCAGACUCCUACGGGAGGCAGCAGUGGGGAAUAUUGGACAAUGGGCGCAAGCCUGAUCCAGCCAUACCGCGUGGGUGAAGAAGGCCUUCGGGUUGUAAAGCCCUUUUGUUGGGAAAGAAAAGCAGCAGGUUAAUACCCCGCUGUUCUGACGGUACCCAAAGAAUAAGCACCGGCUAACUUCGUG
rnacentral:rRNA from 1 species